rnacentral:rRNA from 1 species
CCUAAGGCCGGCGGAAGAAGUAUUGUUAAGGAACUCGGCAAAAUGACCCCGUAACUUCGGGAGAAGGGGUGCCCACGGGAGUGGGCCGCAGAGAAUAGGCUCAAGCAACUGUUUAGCAAAAACACAGGUCUAUGCGAAACCGAAAGGUGAAGUAUAUGGGCUGACGCCUGCCCGGUGCUGGAAGGUUAAGAGGAGAGGUCAGCGCAAGCGAAGCUUUGAAUUUAAGCCCCAGUAAACGGCGGCCGUAACUAUAACGGUCCUAAGGUAGCGAAAUUCCUUGUCGGGUAAGUUCCGACCCGCACGAAAGGCGUAAUGAUUUGAGCACUGUCUCGACAAUACAUCCGGUGAAAUUGAAGUACCAGUGAAGAUGCUGGUUACCCGCGCCAGGACGGAAAGACCCCAUGGAGCUUUACUCCAGUUUGGUACUGGGAUUCGGUACUGCACGUACAGGAUAGGUGGGAGACUGAGAAACUUGAACGCCAGUUUGAGUGGAGUCGCCGUUGGGAUACCACCCCUGCAGUAUUGGAUUUCUAACCAGUCACCGUGACCCGGUGAUGGGACAAUGCCAGGCGGGGAGUUUGACUGGGGCGGUCGCCUCCGAAAGGGUAUCGGAGGCGCUCAAAGGUUCCCUCAGAAUGGUCGGAAACCAUUUGAAGAGUGCAAAGGCAGAAGGGAGCUUGACUGCGACACCGACGGGUGGAGCAGGUAGGAAACUAGGACUUAGUGAUCUGUGGCAUAAAGUGGGAUUGCCAUCGCUCAACGGAUAAAAGCUACCCCUGGGAUAACAGGCUUAUCACUCCCAAGAGUUCACAUCGACGGAGUGGUUUGGCACCUCGAUGUCGGCUCAUCGCAUCCUGGGGCUGUAGCAGGUCCCAAGGGUUGGGCUGUUCGCCCAUUAAAGCGGUACGCGAGCUGGGUUCAGAACGUCGUGAGACAGUUCGGUCCCUAUCCGGCGCGGGCGGAGGAUAUUUGAGAGGAGCUGUCCUUAGUACGAGAGGACCGGGAUGGACGGACCACUGGUGUAUCUGCUGUCGGCCAACGGCAUGGCAGAGUAGCCAAGUCCGGAAGGGAUAAACGCUGAAGGCAUCUAAGCGAGAAGCCCCCCUCAAGAUGAGAUAUCCCUCACAUAAGUGAGUAAGAUCCCUUGAAGACUACAAGGUAGAUAGGGCAGAGGUGGAAGUGUGGCAACACAUGGAGCUGACUGUUACUAAUCGAUCGAGGGCUUGACCG